rnacentral:rRNA from 1 species
GACGAACGCUGGCGGCGCGCCUAACACAUGCAAGUCGAACGAGCGAGAGAGAGCUUGCUUUCUCGAGCGAGUGGCGAACGGGUGAGUAACGCGUGAGGAACCUGCCUCAAAGAGGGGGACAACAGUUGGAAACGACUGCUAAUACCGCAUAAGCCCACAGGUCGGCAUCGACCAGAGGGAAAAGGAGCAAUCCGCUUUGAGAUGGCCUCGCGUCCGAUUAGCUAGUUGGUGAGGUAAUGGCCCACCAAGGCAACGAUCGGUAGCCGGACUGAGAGGUUGAACGGCCACAUUGGGACUGAGACACGGCCCAGACUCCUACGGGAGGCAGCAGUGGGGAAUAUUGCACAAUGGGGGAAACCCUGAUGCAGCGACGCCGCGUGGAGGAAGAAGGUCUUCGGAUUGUAAACUCCUGUUGUUGAGG